rfam:Streptococcus dysgalactiae subsp. dysgalactiae ATCC 27957 chromosome, whole genome shotgun sequence.
UAUUUUCAUGCUGUAUAAAAUGAAGAAUAUGCUGAAAAAUGUUGAAAUAAUUAGAGCUGUUUUCAUUUUUGGGUAAACGCCACAACAAGAAACCCCUUUGUUUUCUGAAAACAAGAGGUUUCGUUU